rnacentral:rRNA from 1 species
AACGCGAAGAACCUUACCUGGGCUCGAACGGCUUCGGACAAUCUUUGGAAACAGAGACUUCCCGCAAGGGACUGGAGUCGAGGUGCUGCAUGGCUGUCGUCAGCUCGUGUCGUGAGAUGUUGGGUUAAGUCCCGCAACGAGCGCAACCCUUGUCCUGUGUUGGCAUGCCGCAAGGCGCAACUCUCAGGAGACCGCCAGCGAUAAGUUGGAGGAAGGUGGGGAUGACGUCAAGUCAUCAUGGCCUUUAUGUCCAGGGCUACACACGUGCUACAAUGGGCGGUACAAAGCGCUGCAAACCCGCGAGGGGGAGCCAAUCGCAAAAAACCGUUCUCAGUUCGGAUCGCAGGCUGCAACUCGCCUGCGUGAAGCUGGAAUCGCUAGUAAUGGCGUAUCAGAAUGAUGCCGUGAAUACGUUCCCGGGCCUUGUACACACCGCUAGUC